rnacentral:rRNA from 1 species
UACCUACGGGGGGCAGCAGUGGGGAAUAUUGCGCAAUGGACGAAAGUCUGACGCAGCGACGCCGCGUGAGGGAUGAAGGUUUUCGGAUCGUAAACCUCUGUCAGGAGGGAAGAAAGCGCAUGGCGCCAAUCAGCCAUGCGUUGACGGUACCUCCAAAGGAAGCGCCGGCUAACUCCGUGCCAGCAGCCGCGGUAAUACGGAGGAUGCGAGCGUUAUCCGGAUUUAUUGGGUUUAAAGGGUGCGUAGGCGGACUGGAAAGUCAGCGGUAAAAUCGAGAGGCUCAACCUCUUUCCGCCGUUGAAACU